GGCUGAAGCUUCUCCCAAAAAGAGAAGAAAUUCUGUCUGUGAACAGUCCCUUCAGCCCUUGCCAAGAGUUUCAGCCUGCCCAUGUCCUUCCUAUUCUAUAGAGUAUGGAUGUGCUUAGCCAGCCUCCACAUUUAUUUGUGGCUACAUUCACUGGAAUUUUCCAAAUGAGUUUUCUCUUACCUGGUUCCCUUCCCAGCUUUGUAUAUGGUGUGGCUUGGAGACAAGACAUAUACAAAAAACUAAGUGACCUAAAUCAUGUUAGAAACCUUGCAAAUGGAAGUAAACAUGACAGGACAUGGACAUAUAAAACAUUUUCUACUUUGACACUGACCUUGCAAAGAAAACAG